CGCGUAGGCGGCAAGGCAAGUCAAAUGUGAAAUCCCCGGGCUCAACCUGGGAAUUGCAUCUGAAACUGCAGUGCUUGAGUCCUGGAGGGGAUAGUGGAAUUCCCAGUGUAGCGGUGAAAUGCGUAGAUAUUGGGAGGAACACCUGCGGCGAAGGCGGCUAUCUGGACAGUGACUGACGCUGAUGCGCGAAAGCCAGGGGAGCGAACG
rnacentral:rRNA from 1 species